CCCCUGGACUUUGUCCGACAGCUGUCAUUGAAGGUUCAGCAGGAAAGACCAGAGUCUCGCUGUGACAAAGUGAUGGAUACGUUGAGUGGAUGUGCCUUGUGUCUGCCUAACCUCACCCAGCUCUCCUCCUGCUGCUGCUGCAGAGAACACAGACCUCCUCUCUGUAUAGAGAUUAAGCCCAAAUGUGGAUUUCUGCCACCCUCUAGACACGUUGAUUUAAGGAAAUCAAGAACCAGGUCUGCCGCUUC